rnacentral:rRNA from 1 species
UACGUAGGGUGCGAGCGUUGUCCGGAAUUAUUGGGCGUAAAGAGCUCGUAGGCGGUUUGUCGCGUCGGCCGUGAAAUCCCUCGGCUUAACCGGGGAACUGCGUCUGAUACUGGAUGGCUUGAGUUUGGGAGAGGGACGCGGAAUUCCAGGUGUAGCGGUGAAAUGCGCAGAUAUCAGGAAGAACACCUAUGGCGAAGGCAGCUCUCUGGGACGGUACUGACGCUGAGACGCGAAAGCGUGGGGAGCGAACAGG